UACGUAGGGUGCGAGCGUUAAUCGGAAUUACUGGGCGUAAAGCGUGCGCAGGCGGUUAUGUAAGACAGAUGUGAAAUGCCCGGGCUUAACCUGGGAACUGCAUUUGUGACUGCAUGGCUAGAGUUUGGCAGAGGGGGGUAGAAUUCCACGUGUAGCAGUGAAAUGCGUAGAGAUGUGGAGGAACACCGAUGGCGAAGGCAGCCUCCUGGGCCAGCACUGACGCUCAUGCACGAAAGCGUGGGGAGCAAACAGG
rnacentral:rRNA from 1 species